UAAAGCUUCCAAACUGGGAUUAGAUACCCCACUAUUUUUGGUUGUAAAUAGAGUUAAGUUUACCAGAGUACUACGAAUGUAAUAAAAUUUAAAACUCAAAGGGCUUGGCGGUGUUCUAGACCUUUCAGGGGAACCUGUCUCGUAAUCGACAGUCCACGUUAGACCUGACCUUUUCUUGCAGUCAGUUUGUAUACCAUCGUCGUCAGGUAACUUUUGAGAAAUGGAGAAGUUAGCGGUGUGAAUAAAGAGCAUGGAUUAAGACGUCAGACCAAGGUGCAGCUUAUGGGAAGGGGAGGAUGGGUUACAAUUAUUUAGUUGUAAGGACGGAAAUAGACAACUGAAAUGAGCUGUUAGAAGGAGGACUUGAAAGUAAAAUAAAUUAUAUAGGCAAUUUGAAUGUGGCUCUGGAACGUGCACACACCGCCCGUCACCCUCUGCAGUCAAAAAA
rnacentral:rRNA from 1 species